UCGAGGGCGUCACAAGUUGGUAUCAGAGCCGACUGCCUGUAGGUAGACCCCUUUCCAACUCCUUGGCCGAAGUUGAGUCUAGAAACUGGAAACUGUUUUACUAACUUGGCAGUGUGGCUUACCGGCCUACGUCGCCAUUGGGUGGUAUUAGGAUCUUUUAUUUCUCGUCUAUACUCUGGGACUCUGAUCUCUCGUCUAUUCGGGUUAAACUUUUUACUAACUCUGACUCUAGGAUCUCGUAACCACUUCCUUCCGGAGAGUCCCUUCUCUACAGAUGAUCGCUUGCUUCGUCAGAAGAUUCUGCAGAUACUCCUCGAUGUUUCCCGAGACCCUGUGCCCACUGCUUUGCAGUUCCUGACCGCCGACAAUCCCCGUGAAUAAUAUCCUUGCCGCUUGUACCUUCACCCCUAGUUGAUCCUGUUAUUACAAGAUGCCCCUAGUACUCUCCGUUGUUUCGAGAACCCUUUGUGCCUUCUUCUUUGCAGCUUCUUUUGCAAUGCGGAUAAUUCACUUAACCGGGGUUCGUUCAUCCCCAGUUGUUCAUAUGCUUUCCUAAAUACUUGGAAAUACUAUCUGAUCUUCCAAAAAUCCUCAGCAGCCUAUUGUUGUUGGAAUUCUUGUUUGCUUGCAUUAUGGUUAAUUCCAUAUUUCUAGUAAUCUUCAUUGACAUCCUCUGUCACUAUUGUUUCGAGUCCCUUGAUCCAAUAUGUCGCGAAUGCUCGUAAUCCUCUAUCAGAUCCUAGCAUUCAUCCUUUCGGCUCAGACGUCACUCCAAAUAUGAGCAUGUUCUUGUCAAAUCAAACCUUGAUUGAUUGCCGAUCUUUAUCGAUUCAACUCAAUUAUCUUUUGAUCAGAGCCUCUGCUUCAGAUCUUCUGAUUUGAAAAUCGUAAUUCCUUUGUAUUCAAGCUUUGAAGUUAUCCAAUUAUAUCUAUAACCCGAUGCCUUUGCAUUCUUUCUUCUUCUGGGUGAGUAUCGAUACUCACAUCAGAUCUUUUAUGGACCGCCAUAUCCUUGGUUGGAUUAUUAUCCGACAAUGUCCUUCAUAUUCAUUAAACUUGUGAGUUUUGCCCUGACACAUAAUGCCUUUGGUAAAUUCUAUCAUCUGCUUUUGUCAACCAUGCUCUGCUUUCGAGCUGGUAUAUUUUAAUCCUGAAGUUAGUGAUAUAUGUUCCUAAGAUACCCCUACGGGUUGAACCUAUGUCUUCACUAAUCCGUGUGAACUCGAAAGAGAUGUGAGUCUUACUCUUCUGGUACUUCGCCAGACAAAUCCUCUGCACUACAAUUUCUUCGAAAAACGAGGAGUGAAUGAAAAGUUAUGCAUUGAAGAAGUGGGAGUCGACCUUGAACCUUGCGUUCAUGCCCAUGGACACGAUACCGAUCUUAUCAUGGAAGCUUCUCGUAAAAAUAAUUACCCCCUUGGUAUAACUUCAUCUUAUAUCUGGGAUUUGGUUUUCUUUAAUCGUGGUUCUGGCCAUAUUGUUAUUCUUUGAUUCCUUUUCUCGGACAAGUUAAAGCGCUUGUCUUCUGCAGAUCAAUGCAUCUCCGCAACCACUAUUUAGAUCUUCCUUCGAGUAUUACCCUCUGGUAUCUCGAGAAUAACAAAGAACUGUGUUGCUUCCUAUGAGUCUUCAUCUAGUAUUGCUUCUAACCGAUUUCAGAUUUCCCCGGGUUCUGAGUUAUUAGUCACUCGAGGACACCGAUAAGUGAAUCGAUUCCACGCCCCGAUUCAAUAACUCUAAGUAAUUCUCGUUGCUUACGAGUUUAAUAAUCAUUCAAGUCAUUCCUAACAUGAUCGACUAUAUUAUUAUCGUGCUAAUUUAACGAUGCUACCUGGUCCUUCUUCCCGGAGCACAUUUUUCGAUGAUGAGCUAAGCCUACGUAGAUCUUCCUCGUCAUAUCAUUUCGCCUUGAACAGCAAGCUUGAUUUCGAGUAUGUGUCAUACACGUGGUUCCAAUAAGCUUUCGCUUCAUCAUUCCUUUGACGUGAUGUCAUCGCCGAUCGAUUACAUCUUCAUGAAAUCUCUCGACAAAUGUGUCGUGAUCAUCAUCAACAUUCUGAGUUCUUCCAGGUUAUGAAUCGAAUUCAUGAUGAUAAAUACCAUCCUUGCCCUCUCGAUGAUUUGUGUUAACAUCGACAACCUUCUUGCAUAUCUACUUGCUGUCCUGUCAGGUAUAUCCUGCUCUACUUGUUCUUCUGAAGGAUAUACUCCUAAUACUUGUGUUUAAACACAUUUUCCUUUCCAUUGGAGUGUUUAAUCCGAUAAUCACAUUUUUCCUUUCCAUUGUUUUGUAUAAUCUUUCUUGUGAUCUCUAUGAUAUAAGCAGUAAUAUUUCCCGGCUUAUGUAAACACCUCGCUGUACAACUGACAGUAAGACCCUGUUACUAUUGUGGACGACAUUCCGGUAACCUCCGAUGGACGAGAACUUUGCCUAUUGGUCCGUCUCAUUCAACGAGCAGGAAAAUGGUUCUCUUCGUCCCUCGCCCUUGGUACCAACGUUGUUGCCAACAUAACUGACAGGAUAUCCUCUGCCAUGCCUUGCUACCAUGAUCGUGAAAUAUGUCGGCGUCUGUCCUACUUUUGAACCACAUGGUGGGCCCAUAACCCAUAGUUCCAUAGGAUCGAAACCCGACUCACCUGUAUAUCUUUGAUUCUGAAAUAUUCUUGGCACUCGGCUUCGUAUGUAGUACACGAGCUAACUUCCUCACCAUGUUUCAUUUCGGUAUCAGGGGCAACAUUAUUCUUCUUUGCUCUGAACCCCUUCCACCCCUUGUUUCAGGCAACAAACGAUUGUCUACUAGGUUGAAGCUUCUUAUUGCACCUCACCUUGCUCUCGAUGACUUUCUUGAAUUUCAACUCGAGAGAUGCCUCUAUGCCACGUUCACUGACAUAGUCCCCACGUACCUACCUUGUGUUGAGCUCCGUCCUUCCCGAGUCUUUCCCCUUACUCCACCUCUUAAAUCUCGGGAUGAUAUUUCUUGUAGUGGAGGAGAUUUGUAACACCCCCAGUGUCAUGCUACAGUAACCCUCUGUGAUUAAGCUAAUCAUUUUUCCAAACAAUGCUUAAUCACCUUUGGUUCAAAUCUCAUUUGAAAUUUCACUUUGGAAUCAAAUUCAAUUUGCAAGUGAAGUUUGAAGUUGCUGGAAAAAUGUUCAUCAUUUGUCAAAAAUUCCAUAACAAUUAUCUGUUAAGGAACACAACAUCACUUUUGUGCAAAGAUGAGCAUUAGCAAUUAUAACAGCACCAAUUCAGCAUUUUUAAAUGCUAUCCUAUUUAUGGAAAAUACCAAAUGAAUUCCUCUGGUCUCAAAAAUAUUUUUGGCGCUGUCUAUAAUCACCAGGGAUUUAAUGGGACACCUCCCAAAUUUUCCUAAGUGAAAUAGUUGGCCAAAUAAUUCCCUUUUUCUCUAUGUUAAUAAAUAAAAGCUAAAACAGAAAAGAAGAAAUAGUAAAGGCCUAAACGCUACUGUGGGGCUGGGCCUCUAGUUCUACAGUGCCACGGCCCAGCCCAUUUGGGGUUUUCCCCUACCUCUGUUCAUCAGAGCGCGGUGGACGCCCGUGCGACGUCCACGGCUCAGAUCGGCCACGGGGCGGCCAUCCGCCACUCUCCGACGCCUACUUGACCCUCCCGCUAACCCUAGCCUGCCCUAGUAUCCCCUCGCUCUCUCCCUCGCCCGCUUUCUUCCUCCCUCACGAGCACCCGUCGUCGCUGCCGCCAUGGCCGUGUCUUAGCACGACCACCGAGCCCCGAGUGCCUCUCCGACGAGCCCGACCGCUCCAACUACUUCCUCUACUUCCUCUCCGCCCUCUGGAUCGAGCCCGACGCCACCACAGCCUCGGGAUCGAGCUCCUCCCCGACCCCGGCCGUCGCCGCUCAUAGCCGUCGUCCACUCCGGCAAGUCCUCCCCGGGCCUUCUCAGCAACGUUGAUGACGGAGCCCAGGAGCCAGACGACGCCACUGAUGACUACUACUAGCCGGAGGAUGCCUACUACUACGUGAAGACCGCCGAUGACUAGGAGUAGUUAGGAGGCUCCCAGGCAGGAGGCCUUGCCUUUUCGACCAUUAUUGCUUUUGUGCUAGUCUUCUUAAGGAAAUCUUGUUUAACUCAUGUCUGUACUCAGAUAUUGUUGCUUCUGCUGACUCUUGUGUUUUCGAGCUUAUGUAUUCGAGCCCUCGAGGCCCCUGGCUUGUAAUAUAAAGCUUGUAUUAAUUUA